UAUUGGACAAUGGGGGAAACCCUGAUCCAGCCAUGCCGCGUGUGUGAAGAAGGCCUUAGGGUUGUAAAGCACUUUAAUUGAGGAGGAAGCUAUUUUGGUUAAUACCCGAGAUAGUUGACGUUACUCAAAGAAUAAGCACCGGCUAACUCCGUGCCAGCAGCCGCGGUAAUACGGAGGGUGCAAGCGUUAAUCGGAAUUACUGGGCGUAAAGCGCACGUAGGCGGCUUACUAAGUCGGAUGUGAAAGCCCCGGGCUCAACCUGGGAAUUGCCUUCGAUACUGGUAAGCUAGAGUGCAAGAGAGGGUGGUGGAAUUUCUAGUGUAGCGGUGAAAUGCGUAGAUAUUAGAAGGAACAUCAGUGGCGAAGGCGGCCACCUGGCUUGACACUGACGCUGAGGUCCGAAAGCGUGGGGAGCAAACAGG
rnacentral:rRNA from 1 species